ACACUCCUGCGGGAGGCAGCAGUGGGGAAUAUUGGACAAUGGGCGCAAGCCUGAUCCAGCCAUGCCGCGUGAGUGAUGAAGGCCCUAGGGUUGUAAAGCUCUUUCACCGGUGAAGAUAAUGACGGUAACCGGAGAAGAAGCCCCGGCUAACUUCGUGCCAGCAGCCGCGGUAAUACGAAGGGGGCUAGCGUUGUUCGGAUUUACUGGGCGUAAAGCGCACGUAGGCGGACUAUUAAGUCAGGGGUGAAAUCCCGGGGCUUAACCCCGGAACUGCCUUUGAUACUGGUAGUCUUGAGUUCGAGAGAGGUGAGUGGAAUUCCGAGUGUAGAGGUGAAAUUCGUAGAUAUUCGGAGGAACACCAGUGGCGAAGGCGGCUCACUGGCUCGAUACUGACGCUGAGGUGCGAAAGCGUGGGGAGCAAACAGGAUUAGAAACCCCGGUAGUCCC
rnacentral:rRNA from 1 species